rnacentral:tRNA from 1 species
GACAAAGUCAGCUAAUACAAGCUUUCGGGCCCAUACCCCGAACACGAUGGUUUAACUCCUUCCUUUGUCA